UCGCGGCGGUGCGCGCAGAAGGGUCUUGGGCUCGAUCCUUGCCUGGNAGCCGCCGCCGGUGCAGAUCUUGGUGGUAGUAGCAAAUACUCCAGCGAGGCCCUGGAGGACUGAUGUGGAGAAGGGUUUCGUGUGAACAGCCGUUGCACACGAGUCAGUCGAUCCUAAGCCCUAGGAGAAAUCCGAUGCAAACGGCGAUGGGAAACGCACUGAACUCGAUUUACAUGAGACAGAGACCCAUUGAACGGGCGAAAGGGAAUCCGGUUCCUAUUCCGGAACCCGGCAGCGGAACCGUUGUUUGUCGGGCCCUCGCAAGGGGUUCGUCAGGGCAACCUAAAAGGGCCCGGAGACGCCGUCGGGGGCCCCGGAAAGAGUUUUCUUUUCUGCAUGAGCGUUCGAGUUCCCUGGAAUCCUCUCGCAGGGAGAUAGGGUUUGGAACGCGAAGAGCACCGCAGUUGCGGCGGUGCACGGGAAUUCCCGACGGACCUUGAAAAUCCGGGAGAGGGCCACGUGGAGGUGUCGCGCCGGCUCGUACCCAUAUCCGCAGCAGGUCUCCAAGGUGAAGAGCCUCUAGUC
rnacentral:rRNA from 1 species